UUCCCCUUUUUCUGCGGGUGUAAUUGCAGCUGAUGGUUUGUCAACUCAUUCUCGUAGUCAUGGUGGAGGAUUUGCUGUUCGGACUGAGCCUUGCAUGG